CCAAAAAAAAUUAGAAAUCUUACCAGUCUUUAUAAGAGCAAGUUAAACUUAAACCCACAACCCAAAAACCGCAAGCAUGAAGCUUUAUUAUCUUUACGGCGCAUUGUUCCUAAUAUUGGCUGCAUUUUCUAUGAAAGCACAGGCGAAGCCAUGUCACGAAAAUGAUCCUAUCGAGCCUACUCCGGAACCAACACCCAACGAUUAGUGAAAUUAAUUUGAGAAACUAUAUUUUUU